CAAUGUGCAAACUAUAUUUUAGUUUAUCAAAAUAUAUUUUUAUUGAUGUGUUCUGUCUCUGAUUCUUUCUUUUUCAGAUGUGCACUUGUGUCUUAGACUUAUGCUUUGCAAAAGGUUCACCAUUGCCCUUAAGUUGCUGUGGGUUUUACGGUUUUACUUCCAACCUGGCAUAUAAAUGCACUUAGUAUCUGAAGUUAUUUGUCAAUAACUGGUGAUCAGACUAUUUCAAACGAACACGUAUUUAAGGGCUGAGAAGAUAAAAGUUAGAAGUCUGCAGACUGCAACGUAAAUCAAUUUUUA
rnacentral:lncRNA from 1 species